UACAGAGGGUGCAAGCGUUAAUCGGAAUGACUGGGCGUAAAGGGUGCGUAGGUGGCGAUAUAAGUUAGUUGUGAAAGCCCCGGGCUUAACCUGGGAACUGCAAUUAAUACUGUGUGGCUAGAGUUUGGUAGAGGGUAGUGGAAUUUCCGGUGUAGCGGUGAAAUGCGUAGAUAUCGGAAGGAACACCAGUGGCGAAGGCGGCUACCUGGACCAGAACUGACACUGAGGCACGAAAGCGUGGGUAGCGAACAGG
rnacentral:rRNA from 1 species